rnacentral:rRNA from 1 species
AUUGAACGCUGGCGGAAUGCUUUACACAUGCAAGUCGAGCGGCAGCACGGGGGCAACCCUGGUGGCGAGCGGCGAACGGGUGAGUAAUACAUCGGAACAUGCCCAGUCGUGGGGGAUAACACUUCGAAAGAAGUGCUAAUACCGCAUACGUCCUGAGGGGGAAAGCGGGGGAUCGCAAGUCCUCGCGCGAUUGGAGUGGCCGAUGUCAGAUUAGCUAGUUGGUGGGGUAAAGGCCUACCAAGGCAACGAUCUGUAGCUGGUCUGAGAGGAUGAUCAGCCACACUGGGACUGAGACACGGCCCAGACUCCUACGGGAGGCAGCAGUGGGGAAUUUUGGACAAUGGGGGCAACCCUGAUCCAGCCAUUCCGCGUGAGUGAAGAAGGCCUUCGGGUUGUAAAGCUCUUUCGGCAGGAACGAAACGGUGAGCUCUAACAUAGCUUGCUAAUGACGGUACCUGAAGAAGAAGCACCGGCUAGCUACGUG